rnacentral:rRNA from 1 species
AGUGAACGCUGGCGGUAGGCCUAACACAUGCAAGUCGAACGGCAGCACAGUAAGAGCUUGCUCUUACGGGUGGCGAGUGGCGGACGGGUGAGGAAUACAUCGGAAUCUACUUUUUCGUGGGGGAUUACGUAGGGAAACUUACGCUACUACCGCAUACUACCUACGGCUUAAAUCAGGGGAUCUUCGGACCUUUCGCGAUUGAAUGAGCCGAUGUCGGAUUAGCUAGUUGGCGGGGUAAAGGCCCACCAAGGCGACGAUCCGUAGCUGGUCUGAGAGGAUGAUCAGCCACACUGGAACUGAGACACGGUCCAGACUCCUACGGGAGGCAGCAGUGGGGAAUAUUGGACAAUGGGCGAAAGCCUGAUCCAGCAAUACCGCGUGGGUGAAGAAGGCCUUCGGGUUGUAAAGCCCUUUUGUUGGGAAAGAAAAGCAGCAGGUUAAUACCCCGCUGUUCUGACGGUACCCAAAGAGUAAGCACCGGCUAACUUCGUG